CCAGACUCCUACGGGAGGCAGUAGUGGGGGAUAUUGCACAAUGGGGGAAACCCUGAUGCAGCGAUGCCGCGUGAAUGAAGACGGCCUUCGGGUUGUAAAGUUCUGUCGCAGGGGACGAAAAUGACGGUACCCUGCAAGAAAGCUCCGGCUAACUACGUGCCAGCAGCCGCGGUAAUACGUAGGGGGCAAGCGUUAUCCGGAAUUACUGGGUGUAAAGGGAGCGUAGACGGUGAAGUAAGUCUGGAGUGAAAGGCGGGGGCCCAACCCCCGGACUGCUCUGGAAACUAUUUGACUGGAGUGCAGGAGAGGUAAGCGGAAUUCCUAGUGUAGCGGUGAAAUGCGUAGAUAUUAGGAGGAACACCAGUGGCGAAGGCGGCUUACUGGACUGUAACUGACGUUGAGGCUCGAAAGCGUGGGGAGCAAACAGGAUUAGAUACCCUGGUAG
rnacentral:rRNA from 1 species